rnacentral:siRNA from 1 species
UUAAAUAUUUGUAGUCUGCAGACC